AUUGAACGCUGGCGGCAUGCCUUACACAUGCAAGUCGAACGGCAGCGGGGACUUCGGUCCGCCGGCGAGUGGCGAACGGGUGAGUAAUGUAUCGGAACGUACCAUUCAGUGGGGGAUAACUAUCCGAAAGGAUAGCUAAUACCGCAUAUUCUGUGAGCAGGAAAGCAGGGGAUCGCAAGACCUUGCGCUGAUUGAGCGGCCGAUAUCAGAUUAGCUAGUUGGUGAGGUAACGGCUCACCAAGGCUACGAUCUGUAGCGGGUCUGAGAGGAUGAUCCGCCACACUGGGACUGAGACACGGCCCAGACUCCUACGGGAGGCAGCAGUGGGGAAUUUUGGACAAUGGGCGAAAGCCUGAUCCAGCCAUUCCGCGUGCAGGAUGAAGGCCCUCGGGUCGUAAACUGCUUUUGUACAGAACGAAAAGGUUUCUACUAAUACUAGGAGCUCAUGACGGUAUUGUAAGAAUAAGCACCGGCUAACUACGUGCCAGCCGCCGCCGUAACAC
rnacentral:rRNA from 1 species